CGUAGCUCAAUGGAUAGAGCACUGGUCUCCUAAACCGGGUGUGUAGGUUCGAUUCCUAUCGGGG
rnacentral:tRNA from 1 species